GACGAACGCUGGCGGCGUGCUUAACACAUGCAAGUCGAACGGAAAGGCCCUGCUUUUGUGGGGUGCUCGAGUGGCGAACGGGUGAGCAACACGUGAGUAACCUGCCCUUGACUUUGGGAUAACUUCAGGAAACUGGGGCUAAUACCGGAUAGGAGCUCCUGCUGCAUGGUGGGGGUUGGAAAGUUUCGGCGGUUGGGGAUGGACUCGCGGCUUAUCAGCUUGUUGGUGGGGUAGUGGCUUACCAAGGCUUUGACGGGUAGCCGGCCUGAGAGGGUGACCGGCCACAUUGGGACUGAGAUACGGCCCAGACUCCUACGGGAGGCAGCAGUGGGGAAUACUGCACAAUGGGCGGAAGCCUGAUGCAGCAACGCCGCGUGCGGGAUGACGGCCUUCGGGUUGUAAACCGCUUUCGCCUGUGACGAAGCGUGAGUGACGGUAAUGGGUAAAGAAGCACCGGCUAACUACGUG
rnacentral:rRNA from 1 species